rnacentral:rRNA from 1 species
CCUACGGGUGGCAGCAGUGGGGGAUAUUGGACAAUGGGGGAAACCCUGAUCCAGCGACGCCGCGUGAGUGAAGAAGUAUUUCGGUAUGUAAAGCUCUAUCAGCAGGGAAGAAAGAAGUGACUGUACCUGAGUAAGAAGCCCCGGCUAACGCCGUGCCAGCAGCCGCGGUAAUACGGAGGGGGAAAGUGUUAUCCGGAAUUACUGGGUGUAAAGGGAGCGUAGACGGUAAUGCAAGUCUGGAGUGAAAGGCAGGGGCCCAACCCCUGGUCUGCUCUGGAGACUGUGUAGCUGGAGUGCAGGAGAGGCAGACGGAAUUCCUAGUGUAGCGGUGAAAUGCGUAGAUAUCAGGAGGAACACCAGUGGCGAAAGCGGCCUACUGGACUGUAACUGACAUUGAGGAACGAAAGCGUGGGUAGCAAACAGGAUUAGAUACCCCAGUAGUC